rnacentral:rRNA from 1 species
UACGUAGGGCGCAAGCGUUGUCCGGAAUUAUUGGGCGUAAAGAGCUCGUAGGCGGCCUGUUACGUCUGCUGUGAAAUCCCGGGGCUUAACCCCGGGCGUGCAGUGGAUACGGGCAGGCUGGAGGCAGGCAGGGGAGAACGGAAUUCCCGGUGUAGCGGUGAAAUGCGCAGAUAUCAGGAGGAACACCGGUGGCGAAGGCGGGUCUCUGGGCCGAUACUGACACUGAGGAGCGAAAGCGUGGGGAGCGAACAGG